GAUGAACGCUGGCGGCGUGCCUAAUACAUGCAAGUCGAGCGGAAACACGAUGAGAUUGCUCCUCUGACGUUAGCGGGGGCCGGGUGAGUGACACGUAGAUAACCUACCUCUAAGACUGGGAUGACUACGGGAAACCGGAGCUAAUACCAGAUCAUAUAUUGAACCGCAUGAUUCAAUAGUGAAAGACGGAUUUGCUGUCAGUGAUAGAUGGAUCGGCGCCGGAUUAGCUAGUUGGUAAGGUAACGGCUUACCAAGGCAACGAUGCGUAGCCGACCUGAGAGGGUGAUCAGCCACACUGGAACUGAGACACGGUCCAGACUCCUACGGGAGGCAGCAGUAGGGAAUCUUCCGCAAUGGGCGAAAGCCUGACGGAGCCACGCCGCGUGGGUGAUGAAGGUCUUCGGAUCGUAAAACUCUGUUGUUAGGGAAGAACAAAAGUGUAAGUAACUAUGGACGUUUUGACGGUACCUAAUGAGAAAGCACCGGCUAACUACGUG
rnacentral:rRNA from 1 species